ACCUCAAAGCUAGCCUAUAUAUCAACUUCAACUAGACCUAAUAAAUCUAAUUCACACUAUAAUUUUUUAACCAAAACAUUCUUAACCUUUUAGUAUGGGCGACAGAACAAUAACUUCAGCGCAAUAGCUUAUGUACCGCAAGGGAAAGCUGAAAAAGAAAUGAAAUAAAUUAUUAAAGUACUAAAAAGCAGAGAUUACAUCUCGUACCUUUUGCAUCAUGAUUUAGCUAGAAAAACUAGGCAAAAAGAUCUUAAGUCUAUCCUCCCGAAACUAAACGAGCUACUCCGAAGCAGCAUUAUAGAGCUAACCCGUCUCUGUGGCAAAAGAGUGGGAAGACUUCCGAGUAGCGGUGAAAAGCCUACCGAGUUUAGUGAUAGCUGGUUACCCAAAAAAAGAACUUCAAUUCUGCAUUAAUUUUUUAAUUACCUAGACAAGACUCUCCUUAUCAAAGGAACUCAUAAGAAUUAAUAGUUAUUUAGAAGAGGUACAGCCCUUCUAAACCAAGAUACAUCUUUUUAAGAUGGGAAAUGAUCAUAAUUAUCAAGGUAAUCCCCUCAGUGGGCCUAAAAGCAGCCACCUGUAAAGCAAGCGUCGCAGCUCCAGCUCAAUAACCAAACCCUUAAUCCCGAUACCCACUCACUACCCUCCUUACUUACUGGGUUAUUUUAUAAAAAUAUAAAAGAACUUAUGCUAAAAUGAGUAAUAAAGAGAAUAUAUCUCUCCUAACACAAGUGUAUGUCAGAAGAAUUAAAUCACUGAUAAUUAAACGGCCCCAAACUGAGGCUACUAUACUAUUUAAACAUCAACCAGAAAACCCUAUUCUUCCACCCGUUAACCCUACACAGGAGUGUUACCAGGAAAGAUU
rnacentral:rRNA from 1 species